CAGGAAAACAAACUCGUUAUUAGGUCCACCCCUCCUGCUGGGCCCUGAGGGAGGGGGAGACCUAAUAACGAGUUUGUUUUCCUG